rnacentral:rRNA from 1 species
AUGAACGCUGGCGGCGUGCCUAACACAUGCCCGUCGAGCGGCAGCGAGGGGUGCUUGCACCCUGUCGGCGAGCGGCGGACGGCUGAGUAACGCGUGGGAACGUGCCCCAAAGUGAGGAAUAACUGCCCGAAAGGGUAGCUAAUACCGCAUAUUAUCUUCGGAUCAAAGGAUUUAUCCGCUUUGGGAGCGGCUCGCGUCGGAUUAGGUAGUUGGUGAGGUAAUGGCUCACCAAGCCGACGAUCCGUAGCUGGUCUGAGAGGAUGACCAGCCAGACUGGAACUGAGACACGGUCCAGACUCCUACGGGAGGCAGCAGUGAGGAAUCUUCCACAAUGGGCGAAAGCCUGAUGGAGCAACGCCGCGUGCAGGACGAAGGCCUUCGGGUUGUAAACUGCUUUUAUAAGUGAGGAAUAUGACGGUAACUUAUGAAUAAGGAUCGGCUAACUACGUG